UACAGAGGGUGCGAGCGUUAAUCGGAAUUACUGGGCGUAAAGCGUGCGUAGACGGUUCUGUAAGUCGGGUGUGAAAUCCCCGGGCUCAACCUGGGAAUUGCAUUCGAAACUGCGAGGCUAGGGUACGGAAGAGGGAAGCGGAAUUUCUGGUGUAGCGGUGAAAUGCGUAGAUAUCAGAAGGAACAUCAGUGGCGAAAGCGGCUUCCUGGUCCAGUACCGACGUUCAGGCACGAAAGCGUGGGGAGCAAACAGG
rnacentral:rRNA from 1 species